rnacentral:rRNA from 1 species
GACGAACGCUGGCGGCGUGCUUAACACAUGCAAGUCGAACGGAAAGGCCCUGCUUUUGUGGGGUGCUCGAGUGGCGAACGGGUGAGUAACACGUGAGUAACCUGCCCUUGACUUUGGGAUAACUUCAGGAAACUGGGGCUAAUACCGGAUAGGAGCUCCUGCUGCAUGGUGGGGGUUGGAAAGUUUCGGCGGUUGGGGAUGGACUCGCGGCUUAUCAGCUUGUUGGUGGGGUAGUGGCUUACCAAGGCUUUGACGGGUAGCCGGCCUGGGAGGGUGACCGGCCCCAUUGGGCUGAGGAUACGGCCAGGACUCCUACGGGAGGCAGCGGUGGGAAAUAUUGCGCAAUGGGCGGAAGCCGGAUGCAGCAACGCCGGGUGCGGAAUGACGGCCUUCGGGUUGUAAACCGCUUUCGCCUGUAACGAAGCGUGAUGAAGGGAAAUGGGUAAAAAAGCACCGGCUAACUACUG